UACGUAGGGGGCUAGCGUUGUCCGGAUUUAUUGGGCGUAAAGAGCGUGUAGGCGGCCAAGUAGGUCCGUUGUGAAAACUGGAGGCUUAACCUCCAGCUGUCGAUGGAAACCAUUUGGCUAGAGUCCGGAAGAGGAGAGUGGAAUUCCUGGUGUAGCGGUGAAAUGCGCAGAUAUCAGGAGGAACACCGGUGGCGAAGGCGGAUCUCUGGGCCAUUACUGACGCUGAGGAGCGAAAGCGUGGGGAGCGAACAGG
rnacentral:rRNA from 1 species